rnacentral:rRNA from 1 species
UACGUAGGCAGCAAGCGUUGUUCGGAGUUACUGGGCGUAAAGAGCGUGUAGGCGGCCACGCAGGUCCGUUGUGAAAACUGGAGGCUCAACCUUCAGACGUCGACGGAAACCGUGUGGCUAGAGUCCGGAAGAGGAGAGUGGAAUUCCUGGUGUAGCGGUGAAAUGCGUAGAUAUCAGGAGGAACACCAGUGGCGAAGGCGGCUCACUGGCCCGGUACUGACGCUGAGGUGCGAAAGCGUGGGAGCAAACAGG